AGAGUUUGAUCAUGGCUCAGAACGAACGUUAGCGGCGCGCCUAACACAUGCAAGUCGCGCGAGAAAGGGCUUCGGCCCCAGUAAAGCGGCGCACGGGUGAGUAACACGUAGGUCAUCUUCCCCUGAGUGGUGGAUAACUCUCCGAAAGGAGAGCUAAUACAGCAUAAGACCACGACCUCGCCGAGGUUGUGGCCAAAGCAGACCUCUUCAUGAAAGUUUGCGCUUGGGGAUGAGCCUGCGGCCCAUCAGCUAGUUGGUAGGGUAAUGGCCUACCAAGGCUAAGACGGGUAGCUGGUCUGAGAGGAUGAACAGCCACACUGGAACUGAGACACGGUCCAGACUCCUACGGGAGGCAGCAGUGGGGAAUCUUGCGCAAUGGGCGAAAGCCUGACGCAGCGACGCCGCGUGAGCGAUGAAGGCCUUCGGGUUGUAAAGCUCUGUGGGGAGGGAAGAAUAAGGCUUGGCUAAUAUCCAAGUUGAUGACGGUACCUCCUUAGCAAGCACCGGCUAACUCUGUGCCAGCAGCCGCGGUAAGACAGAGGGUGCAAACGUUGUUCGGAAUUACUGGGCGUAAAGCGCGUGUAGGCGGCUAAGUAAGUCGGGCGUGAAAUCCCACGGCUCAACCGUGGAAGUGCACUCGAAACUGCAUAGCUAGAGUCCUGGAGAGGAAGGUGGAAUGCUUGGUGUAGAGGUGAAAUUCGUAGAUAUCAAGCGGAACACCGGUGGCGAAGGCGGCCUUCUGGACAGUGACUGACGCUGAGACGCGAAAGCGUGGGGAGCAAACAGGAUUAGAUACCCUAGUAGUCC
rnacentral:rRNA from 1 species